rnacentral:tRNA from 1 species
GCCGCGGUGUUGGAACCGGUAGACAAGCAGGACUUAAAAUCCUGUGUCCUUAAUCGGACGUGUGGGUUCGAUCCCCACUCGCGGCACC